rnacentral:lncRNA from 1 species
UUUGAUUCGAUUCAGGUGCGCUUUGGCAGGAGCACGGCACAGUGAUUCUGUCCUCUCAGUAUCCUCCGUGGGAGGCACAUGCUGUCACUUUGUCCCAUCAUCAUGUUGUUCUGGGUUAUGGUGGAGAUAACUGAUCUCUUGGAAGUGCCACCUCCUCUCCAUGAGUAAUGACUCACCUGUGGGGAGGUGCUUUGAGACUAUCUUGUCAGUCCACAGGCAGACUCAGUGGUCUUGGCAUCUUCGGGGGCAGACCCAGUGGACUUGGCAUCUUCGGGGGCAGACCCAGUGGACUUGGCAUCUUUGGGGAAUUCUUGCCUGCAUUAGUGUUGGCUGUGAUGAUUGUAAAAUGGAGGCUUCUCAACUCAUCAUUUCUUCAGCAUUUGCCACUCGGCCUUCUCUUUAUUUCAUGUCAGUGUGGCUUCUAGGGGUUAGAGUUCAUGACUGUUAUCAUUUAUUUUGAUGUUCACUUGGCCCAGAUAUGGCCAGAAAGACUCCCUCCAGGCUGGCUUCUGGGUCCUCUUGCCAUUCGUUCAUGUCUGUGCCACUCUCGGGCACUGCACACUGUCUGUGGCUCAUGUGUUCACUUCCUGCCCCACUUCUGGAAUCAGCCAUUUCUCCGAGGAGCCCUGCUUCCGGCUGAUGGGGAACAGCACGUAGAAACCACGACCUGGGCACCAAGAAUACACCUCUGCUGCUGGGUGUUGUCCUUUCUAGGCCCUUUCAGCAGACAGAGCUAGGAGUUGAAUUUUAAAACCAAGAGUUCAUCAUGGUGCCCGUCACAUUGCAGCACCACGGGGGUCUUUGCCCACCAUCAGCCCACAGUUGCUCCUUCCUCCCACAGUGCCAAGUAGCUGGGGACUUGGGAACGUCAGCAGUGCUGUUCUUAUCAAAGUUUCCUGUAACCCUGUCUCUCAGCAGUGAUUUAAGAAAUUAAGGCUUUUCACUGGUUGUCAAUUUUCUUUGCCUCCCUGGGGCUGAAUACAGCCUGUUGUUUCAAGUAUCUAAAGUGGCUUAAAAGAAACUUCUCCAUAAACCGAAUAGCACAUCGCUAGAGACUCUGAGAAAAGUACUACUUAGUGAUAAUUGCUAUAGAAUAUGUGACAAAAUGUGCUUUCGUUUCAAAUAAAGUGGAGAUUUAUUCAGAAAAGUGGAGUGUAGAACUACACUGUUAAAUAGAAGGAUCACAACAAUGUACUCGAUGUAUUAUUUGUCCCUUUUGGUAAACGUAAUGAGUGAAAUUGUAAGUUAAAGCUGAAGCUCUUUUCCCUCCAUUUCAUCAUGAAGCUCUUCACAUGGACAGCAAAGCUGCAGGAUUUUGUGGUGCGCGCUUGUAUACCCGCCACUUCAGCCGUGUCGCCAUGCUUUGCUGUGUUGCAUUUGUCCAGGUGUCCCCCACAGCCUUCCACGCCUGCGUGAAUGUCAGUCACAGACGUGAGCAUCAGUCACAGACAUGAGCGUGCUCUCCUGCCUUCACCAUGCCUGUCAGGGACCAGAGUUCAGCAGUUGUCUUGUUUUUUCUUUUGAGAUACAUUUUUCUUACGGGAAUAUGUGGGAAACUUAAUUGUGCUGUUCAGUGAGUUACACCCACAUAGCCGCGACCGAGACAGACCCUCGAUCUGGAAGAUUCAGCCUCCCCCACGCAUGGCCGUCCCCCAGGCAGCCAUUGCCCCCCUCCCUCCAUACGUGAGUCUCACCUUUUCUAGAGCGGCAUAGCCACGAAAUUACACGGUAGGGUCUUUUGUGGAAGGCGUCUUUCGCUCACAUGAUGUGCUUCAGACUCAUCCAUGUUUUACAUAGAGCAGUUCGUUUCUUUUUAUCGCUGAACAGUGUUAGUGAUUGCACAGCCGCCUAGCUCACCUCCAAAGGAGAGACACGUAAAACAGCCUUUUGUGUUUGGAAUGCCUUUUCCAGAAGAUCCCUUGAUACGAGAGCCGCAUGUUUGCUAUUCUUGAUGCCCUGCUGGUAUCGUGUGAGUGUUCCAGUCUGUCUGUCCACCCUCCUACAGAGUGACAUCUGGGCUGUGUUCAGCUUGGGGCUGUCACGGAGCCUUCCUGCGCAGGUCCAUCUGUGGAUGCAGGCGCCUUCUCUCCUGGAUGAAAUACUAAGAGUGGAAUUGCUGAGUCAUAGGUGGUCGCAUGUUUGUUUAGGAGCAGCUGCCAGACCUUCUUUGCAAAUGGUUGAGCCAUUUACACUUCCACCAACACUGUGUGAGAGUUCUGUUGCUGUACAUCCUUGCCAACAUUUGGUAUUGUCAUUCUCUUUAAUUUUAGCCAUUCUGGUAGGUGUGUAGUCAUCUGUCAUUUGGAGUUUUAAUUUGCCUUUGUCUGGUGACUGGUGAUGAGCACAGAGCUCUUUUCAGCGUGCACUGUGUUUGUGUGUGUGUGUGUGUGUGUGUGUUAUGGGAUUGGAGUAGGCAGUCUGUGUGUGUGUGUGUGUGUGUGUUACGGGAUUGGGGGAGUACGCAGUCUGUGUGUGUGUAUGUGUGUUAUGGGAUUGGGGGAGUAGGCAGUCUGUGUGUGUGUUACGGGAUUGGGGGAGUAGGCAGUCUGCGUGUGUGUUACGGGAUUGGGGGAGUAGGCAGUCUGCGUGUGUGUGUGUGUGUGUUAUGGGAUUGGAGUAGGCAGUCUCUGUGUGUGUGUGUGUGUGUGUGUGUUAUGGGAUUG